UGGGUUCUCAGGCCACAGUAUCACAGCCUGAAAUCAAGACAUCGGCCAAGCCUGGCUCUUCCCUGGAGAUUGUGGGAAAGAACCUGCCUCUCAGGCCAUUCCACUGUUGGCAGAGUUCACUUCUUUGUGUGGGGAGAAGAGAUUUCAGGCACAGGAAGUUCUUGUGAUAGCUUUCUUCAGAGAUGGAGGAAGGCUUCAAGGAGCUGAGAGUGGCCCCCAGCUGACAGUCAGCAAAGACUGGGAACCUCAAUUCUAUACCUGCAAGAACUGAAUUUUGCCAACAAUUAAAUGACCUUGGAGGUCUCCUGCUAAACUCUCACUCCAUAUCACCUCUCAAAUGACAUCACAGGACAUUAUUUGUUUAUGUACCAAGAAGUCCAGAGGUGGUACAGCAGCUGAUAGACAAGAAGGAUCACCACAUCAUUGUCCUAAGGGUGUAGACACAGCAGACCGUAUUUCCCAAAGAUGGAUUCAAUGAUAUAACCAGGCCCUGCGGCGAGGGAGCCAAGCGCUACUUCUGUAGACACAAAGCAUGGAUGGUGGCCAGAACCCACUCUGAAAGGCAGCGUCACACAGGCGAAUCACUUCUACCCUGCGCCUCGGUGUGACCUGUGCAUCUGUGGAAGGAAAGGUUUUCUUCUGGCUCCUUGGCACAGAGCAGCCGGAGCAGAAAGGAAGUGCUGGGUGCUGGCCAGCAAGUUGUGGAGGCUGUGUGGUGCCCAAGUCAGACUCAGCACCACCUCUAGCCACUGAUACUGGGAUCUGGCAAACAAGCCCUAAUCACUUAAUGAGCAAUGAAAAUGGUGCCUCCUUCCUCUACUUAAUUGCCCCUUUGAAAACAACACACAGGAGAUUUAUGGUCCCACCAUAAUUGCCUCAUAAAACCCUGGAGUUGAAGAGACUGACACGCCUGGUUUCUGGGAAGAACUUAGAGGCAAAAAAAUGAAGACAAGGAAUUCCUGGGUUGCCUUGUCCUUGGCUACCUGGAACCCAACAAGACCAUUCGCAGAGUGACUGCCUCCCUGCACAGCCAUAUCAUUCCAAGCGUUGGGCAGCCAGUGUUUCCUGAGGCCCGGCUUCCUGCUCACCUCUGUCACUGGUAGUGCCUAAGGAAUGUAGGCCAAGGGCACCAAGGAGGCCUGGCCUUUCUGAAGGUCAGAAGGAGGGCCUGUGGGAGAGGACACCAACCUCUGACCCACAGGACAGGAGAAGAGGGCAGGGGACACAGGCUGACGCCAGCCAUGGAAGGACGCAGCUCACAGGGAGUUGAAUGACAGCAGCAAGGUUCAUACUCUCUCCGAAGAAAUCGGUUUCUUUGUGCUACCUGAGAACUGGACUUGGAACCACUGGC